CUCCGCGAGGACCAAUGAGGGCGCGCGCAGAGCGGUGUGUGUUGUGUCUUGUUGCUGUGAACGAGAUAUUUUAAGGAGGCUGGGGAGCAGAGAGCGGCUCACCCCGGAGGAGCUCAGAGGUUGGCUGUGUCUGCAGGAACCGACGAAAGCACAGACUUCACACCGAGCUGGAGCGUCGUUGAGUCGGUGUUGAGGACGGUAGAUGUCGCGCCAAGGAGCGGAGGAAAACCACGGAGGAAGAGGCUUUAACUGGGAUUUACUGACCCGCUGCUGCUGCUGGACAGAAUUAUUUAUAGGAGCCUGAAGGCGAUGUGGAGGCUCAGAUCAACUCAGACAUACUGAUUUAAACUCCAGUCAGAGAGCUGAGUGCCGGCUGUGGAACCAUCAGCAGCAGUUGCUCCUUCCCUGUGAGAGAGAACAAACCAUUCAACAACGUCGAAAGUUGCUUACUUCAAGAGGAAAUAUGCGGAGGAGGAGGAUUUACACGGAGGCCUACAUGGAUAUUUUCAAAAACACCUGAUACUGCAGGAGGACCGGGGCUGCAUCCUGAAGCUGUCCCUGGAGAAGCUGAGGUUUCUUGAGGACCCGGAGGCCUACCUGCGGCGCUCCGUCCUCAUCAACAACCUGUUGAGGAAGAUCCACCAUGAGGAGGAGGAGCUGGAGGCUGAUGAGGAGGAAGAAGAUGAAGAAGAUGAUGAUAACAUAGAAAUGGAAGAAGAGGAAGAAGAAGAAGAGGAAGAAGGUGGCAUCGUGGGGGAGAGGGGGCCGGGGCGGCUGUUGUACCCUGACAGAAAGAGGGUGAAGGUGCUUGUGAUGGACUGCUGUUCUCCUGCGUUUGGCCUGGAGGAGCUGCAGCAUUACCGACUGGUGCCCUGUUACCCAUCAGCUGGAUACCUGUACAGCCUUGGUACCUGCCCAGGCCUCGCCCCCAACCAGGUCCUCCUGUACAAUCUUGACGACAAUGGGUGACUGAACCGUCUUCAGUGUCAUGCCUCUGUUAACAGCUGGGGAAUAAACAUCUGCACAUGUUACUGGCAUGCAGACGUGUACUGUGUCCCUCGUUUUUCACUUAUUCUGAGGGACAGGUGUCGUGGGGUCUGCUUUAUUUGUUGCCAGGAUGUAACCUCCACUUGUCACCUUGCUGAGAUUCAGCGGUGGAAUGAGAGACCUAAAAAGCCCUGAUUCUUCUUCCGGAUCAACAGGGUCUUUAAUGUUGAUGUCAAAUGCAAACUGUUGCAGCGUCACUGCCAUUUAUUAUAAUUUUGAGAGACCAGAAGCAGGCAGGAUUUUUUGCUGUUGAUGUUGUGUUAUUGAUUUUUAUUUUAUUGUUUUUGUUGCUCAUGUGAAUCGUGAGCAUAUUCAGGGAUUUACAGACUGCAGGCUACUUUUGAUGCACCUUGGCUUGCUUGGAGAAUUUUUGCUGAUAAGCUUCUGUUAUCUUUUUAUGCUAUUGUGUGAUUUAUGAAAUAUUCUGAGUAAUAUUCCCUGGGCUGUGUGAAUUGUCAAGCUAUCUCGAGAGCUUACCUUCUCUGAGGGUUAUUAACUGCCUGUGGAAAGACUGUUUCUCCCCCUCUGUAUUUGACGUCCUGUUUUCUUAUAUGCUGUCUGUUAUUUUCUUUUUGCAUCACGUUGCUGCCCUCUGCUGGUGAAUAAAUGAAUCUAUGGUUAAAACCUUACAGUUCAAGUGAAUGAGAAGAUGUGAAUUAACCCUAUUCAGCACGUGCAGGCAGCAUAUAAACAUUGAACUAAUGGCGUGUCACACUUUGAUGCAAUUGUAAGAAGAUUUUAAGUGUGGAAGCUGGUGUGUAAUGGAAGACAAUUUAGAAAAAAAAGUAUAAAAAUGUGAAAUAAGUUUUCACAAGAGACACUAAUUGUUGACUAAAUCUGCACAUUAAUGAACACUCAAAAUGUUUUUUUUACAACUUCAUAAUAGUGUGUUUCAAACCAUUUAAAAAACAUUUGUUAAUUGCUUUAAUACCAAAUAUGGUAGUUGAAAUAAAGCUUCACUGAAAAGGGUAAUAAUCUUUCUUUCUUUUUUCACUUUUAAGGGACACGAUAAAAUAAACGAAGCUUUGCGUCUUUGUGGUUAAAAACCAAACAAAAUGAUCAGUCUCCUCAGCAGAAGAUCAGAAAGAAGAAUGUCUUUAAACAGAUAAUUCAGUUCAUAUUCUGACCAGUCUAAUUUACAGCAGCAGCUGUUAUCUUGUCAGAGGGAAAACGUGUUUCUUAUGAAACUGACGACCUCGCUUUAUGACAAGUCGAUCAAUGAUUCAUCCUUUUUCAGUGUGUUUUCGUGUCCAGUCUCUGUCCAAGAGUGAAGCGGGUUUGAAAAUGUGCAUCUUGAUAACAAUCACUGCAAAGUUAAAAAGACAAACAGCAACAACAAGAUACUGUACGCAACUAUGAAAGAGAAUCUUGAUAUUUUAAAACAGGAAUUUAUAUUUUGAUGAAAAUGCUUAUUCCAUAUUUAAGAAAAACUAUUUUGAAAAAGGGACAUCAAACUUUUUUCAGGUGAUUGAUUAUCAAUAAAGGAUGUAAGGUGACAAUG